rnacentral:rRNA from 1 species
GGGAGGUAGUGACAAUAAAUAACAAUACGGGGUUCUUUAGGAUCUCGUAAUUGGAAUGAGUACAAUUUAAAUCUCUUAACGAGGAACAAUUGGAGGGCAAGUCUGGUGCCAGCAGCCGCGGUAAUUCCAGCUCCAAUAGCGUAUAUUAAAGUUGUUGCAGUUAAAAAGCUCGUAGUUGAAUUUCGGGGUUAGUAAGUUGGUCAUGCCUUCGGUAUGUACUGGCUUUACUGAUUCCUCCUUCUUGACGAACCGUGAUGUCAUUAAUUUGGUGUUGCGGGAAAUCAGGACUGUUACUUUGAAAAAUUAGAGUGUUUAAAGCAAGCAUUAGCUUGAAUACAUUAGCAUGGAAUAAUGAAAUAGGACGUUUGAUCCUAUUUCGUUGGUUUCUAGGAUCGACGUAAUGAUUAAUAGGGAUAGUUGGG